UACGUAGGGUGCAAGCGUUGUCCGGAAUUAUUGGGCGUAAAGAGCUCGUAGGCGGCCUGUCGCGUCGACUGUGAAAACCCAGGGCUCAACCCUGGGCCUGCAGUCGAUACGGGCAGGCUAGAGUGCAGUAGGGGAGACUGGAAUUCCUGGUGUAGCGGUGAAAUGCGCAGAUAUCAGGAGGAACACCGGUGGUGAAGGCGGGUCUCUGGGCUGUAACUGACGCUGAGGAGCGAAAGCGUGGGGAGCGAACAGG
rnacentral:rRNA from 1 species